AAAGAUUUUUAAUUAUUUAAAAGUUAUAAACUUUGUUGUGGGCCUGGGGCAUAGUGCUGUGGCAAAAGCACUUGGCUGGUCUUGGGCUUGACGCAUGGCAUCUCGGAAAUAAGUAAUGGAAGCCCAGCACUCAGGAGGCAGAGGCAGGGAGAUCUCUGAGUUUGAGAUCAGCCUGCUCUGCAGAACAAGUUUCAGGACAGCCAGGGAUACUUUGUCUUGAAAUUACACACACACACACACACACACACACACACACACACACACACACACACACAGUCUAGAAGUCAGUAACAAGGCAAGACUUGUCAGUAGACCUAAAGCUCUUAAGUCAGGAAAUUUUUUCCAAAAAAGCCAAAAUGGCGGCUGUAUAGUGGGAGAUGGCUCUGAGACACAGUCAACAUAUCGACAGACACACAGACACAUGUCCUAAGUCAUCUUCUUGACAAGGAUGUAUAAUCGUACAUUCUGAGAAACUUAGACCAGCCCCAGGUGUGGGUCUCGCCACAAAACUGAGAUCUCAAAGCAGCAGCCGGCUGGGCACGCCUAUAACCCAAAACAUGAGAAGUUUUGGUAAGAGGACUGGCAUGAGUCCAGGGAUAGCCUAGGCUACAUAGGGAGUAUCAGGCCAGACAGGGUUACCUGGCGAGAGCUUGUCUCAAACAAAAAGUAAAGUGAUCUGGGCACAGACAUCCGACCUGCUGAAAUUCUGCAGGGUGAGGCAGUUAACCAGGAGUUUAAGCUGUGCACAGGUUCUGCUUUUUCGAAAGCUCGGUACGGUAGUUGUAACAGCAAUUGUCAGGUGAGGCCAGUAGACCAGAAGGCCAAUGCCCUGUCUCAACAAACAGAUUGGUUAGGUGUGACCCAAGUGUUUCAAAGGCAGAGAAAUGAGGGUUGCCAAAUGUUCCAGACCAAUGAAGACUAAGUAACGAAGACCCUUUUUCAAAAAGCAAAUCGGUAUCAAGAGCACUUGCUACCCUUCCAGAGGACCUGGGUUCAAUUCCCAGCAUUCAUGUGGCAGUUUACAACCAUCUGUGGGCUCUGUUAGCACCAUGCACGCUCACAGUGCACAGACACUCAUGAGGCAAAACUCCACACAUGGUAAGACAAAACCGUAAAACUUAUAGCCAUAAUCCCCCGCAGGCAUAGCGCUUCCUGCCUCUAAUACCCGUACGCAAGGGUGGAAACAACCAAGACCAGCAAGGGCUAUAUCGUAAGCUGGCAGCCCUCGGGAGCCUCCUGAGGCUCUGUCUCGGAACGAAAAAAAUACUAGUUAAGUAAAAAAAUGAGGUCUAGCCAGACAUGGAGCCACAGAUAGGCCUUUGAUCCCAGAACUGGGAAGCAGCGGCAGGCAGAGCACUGAGUUCAAGGUCAGCUGUGAUGAUACAUGUCUAUGCUCUCAGCGCUCUGGAGGCCUGCCCAGGGGAAAGCUUGUGAUUCAAGCCAACAUGGAAUAUAAGUGAGACUCUGUCUAAAAAAAUUAUAGCUGGUGCCAGGUAGAUAGCUCAGCAGGCACACUUGCACAGAGCAGCUGUUCAUGCACAGAGGCACGGACACAAACGAAAUAAAAAGGUAACCAUUGUUCUAAGUUGUUAAAGUUCUUGAAUUUGCCAGGCAUGGUAGCACAGGCUGUAAUCCCAGUACCUGGGAGGUGGAACGGGAUGGUCAGAAGGUCAGGCCCAGCCUCUGCUCUAUGAAACCCUGUCUUAGAAGACAAACAAAAAACCAUUUGGGUGACUCACACCCGCAAUCCCAGCACUGGAGGGGCAGAUGCAGGACAGGCAUUGCAAAUUUGAGGCCAGCCUCAUCUACACAUUAAGUUCCAGGCCAGCCAAAGACUACUUAGAGAUGCUGUUUUUAAAAAGUCCAAAACCAAAACAUAAAUAAUACUGGGUGGAAGGACUUGUGCUUAUAAUCCCAGCACUCAGAUGGUUGAGGCAGGACUGUUUGUCCAGGAAUUCCUGGCCAGCCUGGACUAUAACGGGAGUUCCAGGCCAGACAUUAAUACCUGUUCUCGCAAUGCCAUCUUCUUGCAAGGUACCGGUGAGGAGGAAAUGAGUUCAUUUAUAAAUUUAAAGUGGGAAGACUCAGCUUGGCACGAUGAUGAUCUGUAAUUCCCGCCCCGCCCCGGAAAGGAGGCAGAGACAGGAGAAUCACUGCAAGCUCAAGGCCAGUCUGUUCUGUACAGCAAGACCCAGUUUCAGUAAACAAAGCAACUGUGUAAACCUUUGCGGCUAAGCUUUGAAUCUGAUACACCAGUUAGUUUCAAUCCUGGCUAAAGAGUCUACAGCUGGGGCUUGGUGGUAGAGCUAGCCCUCAGAGUUACACAGGACUUACAGAGUUAAACUAGGACUCGUCUACUGGAACCGAAAUAAGGAAACCUCCCAAUAUUUUCUGCUGUAGGAUUCAUCCUAGUGGGACCUCUUUCUCACGGAUAUUUCAUGCAAGAUACUUAAUUCUGUGCCUCAGUUUCUUCCCUUGUUGAAAGAGGAGAGUAUCAAGAAUAUCACACAGUCUGCCAGGGCAACAUCAACACUCCGGAGCCUGACGAUGGGGGAGGAGGAGCCGUGACGAGUUAAAGGGUUACACAGUGACUUUGAGGUCCUUGUCUCUAAAACAGCAUUUGGUGGCUAAGCCCAAGGUCAAUGGUAGAACACUCGUUUGCCAUUCACAAGAUUCUGGGUUUUUUCCCCCUAGAGCCGGAGCGUGCUAAAGGGUACUUGGCACAAAGUAGUACCUAGGACAGGGACCAUUUUGUAGACCAAAGUUAAUGCUUCUAUGUCGGAAAUUAACAAGCAAAGGCAGGAGACAUCGAAGGCUAACCUUUAGACCUAAAACCCAGGGUACUCAGGGAGCCCCACUAGCCCUUCGGCAUCCAGCCGGCCCCUGGCUCCGCCCCUUCCCUCCUAGCCCCGCCCAUACGCUCCAGUCCCGGCCUACGCUAGUCUCGCGUAUUUUCAGCGCGCGCGAGCUCUUCAACUGGGGCCGGCGGUUGGUCGGGCGAAGCCAUCUUCCACGUGACGUAGGGGGAACGUAAAGCCUACGAGACCACACUGUUCUUCAUUUUUCAGCAUUUCGGAUCUAGACCCUCUCACUCCUGUAUUAUUUUCCUCUGUUCUGCACGCCGAAGGGCCUGCUAGUAUCCGAGCCGCGUCGAGGAUAGAGCGUCUCUGGCGACUCUCGGAGAGCUCCCCUCCUGACAGGAAGCAAUUGGGAGAGGCCGAAGGCGGGCGAGGGCGGGAGGCGGCCCUAGCGCCAUUUUGUGGGCACGAAGCGGUAGCUCGGCUGUUGUUGGGUUCCUUUCCGUCUUCGAUCCUUCGUUGUGCUUCCUAGCAGCGGCCCAGUGGAGAUUUAAGCAAAGAUGUCUGAAUAUAUUCGGGUAACAGAAGAUGAGAAUGAUGAGCCCAUUGAAAUACCAUCAGAAGACGAUGGGACAGUGUUGCUGUCCACAGUUACAGCCCAGUUUCCAGGGGCGUGUGGCCUGCGCUACCGGAAUCCAGUGUCUCAGUGUAUGAGAGGUGUCCGACUGGUGGAAGGAAUUCUGCAUGCCCCAGAUGCUGGCUGGGGCAAUCUGGUCUAUGUUGUCAACUAUCCCAAAGAUAACAAAAGGAAAAUGGAUGAGGCGGAUGCUUCCUCUGCAGUGAAAGUGAAAAGAGCAGUCCAGAAGACAUCUGACCUCAUAGUGUUGGGUCUCCCCUGGAAAACAACAGAGCAGGACCUAAAAGACUACUUCAGUACUUUUGGAGAGGUUCUUAUGGUUCAGGUCAAGAAAGAUCUUAAAACUGGUCACUCAAAAGGGUUUGGCUUUGUUCGAUUUACGGAAUAUGAAACUCAAGUGAAAGUAAUGUCACAGCGACAUAUGAUAGAUGGGCGAUGGUGUGACUGUAAACUUCCAAAUUCUAAGCAAAGCCCAGACGAGCCUUUGAGAAGCAGAAAGGUGUUUGUUGGACGUUGUACAGAGGACAUGACUGCUGAAGAGCUUCAGCAGUUCUUCUGUCAGUAUGGAGAAGUGGUAGAUGUCUUCAUUCCCAAACCAUUCAGAGCUUUUGCCUUUGUUACCUUUGCAGAUGAUAAGGUUGCCCAGUCUCUUUGUGGAGAGGACUUGAUCAUUAAAGGAAUCAGCGUGCAUAUAUCCAAUGCUGAACCUAAGCAUAAUAGCAAUAGACAGUUAGAAAGAAGUGGAAGAUUUGGUGGUAAUCCAGGUGGCUUUGGGAAUCAGGGUGGGUUUGGUAACAGUAGAGGGGGUGGAGCUGGCUUGGGAAAUAACCAGGGUGGUAAUAUGGGUGGAGGGAUGAAUUUUGGUGCUUUUAGCAUUAAUCCAGCGAUGAUGGCUGCAGCUCAGGCAGCGUUACAGAGCAGUUGGGGUAUGAUGGGCAUGUUAGCCAGCCAGCAGAACCAGUCAGGCCCAUCUGGGAAUAACCAAAGCCAGGGCAGCAUGCAGAGGGAACCAAAUCAGGCUUUUGGUUCUGGAAAUAACUCUUACAGUGGUUCUAAUUCUGGUGCCCCCCUUGGUUGGGGGUCAGCAUCAAAUGCAGGAUCAGGCAGUGGUUUUAAUGGAGGCUUUGGCUCAAGCAUGGAUUCUAAAUCCUCUGGCUGGGGAAUGUAGGUGGGUGGGGGUGGUUAGUAGGUUGGUUGGUAGGUUAGGUAGGUUUAGAAUGGUGGGAUUCAAAUUUUUCUAAACUCAUGGUAAGUAUAUUGUAAAAUACAUAUGUACUAAAAUUUUCAGAUUGGUUUGUUCAGUGUGGAGUAUAUUCAGCAGUAUUUUUGACAUUUUUCUUUAGAAAAAAGAGGGAAAAACUAAAUGAAUUUUAUAAGUUUUGUUAUAUAAAGGGUUAAAAUACUGAGUGGGUGAAAGUGAACUGCUGUUUGCCUAAUUGGUAAACCAACACUACAAUUGAUCUCAGAAGGUUUCUCUGUAAUAUUCUAUCAUUGGAAUUGUUAAUGAAUUCUUUGCAUGUUCAGAGUAGAAACCAUUGGUUAGAACUACAUUCUUUUCUCCUUAUUUUAAUUUGAAUCCCACCCUAUGAAUUUCUUCCUUAGGAAAAUCUCCAUUUGGGAGAUCAUGAUGUCAUGGUGUUUGGUUCUUUUGGUUUUGUUUUUAACACUUGUCUUCCUUCAUAUACGAAAGUACAAUAUGAAGCCUUCAUUUAAUCUCUGCAGUUCAUCUCAUUUCAAAUGUUUAUGGAAGAAGCACUUCAUUGAAAGUAGUGCUGUAAAUAUUCUGCCAUAGGAAUACUUCUGUCUACAUGCUUUCUCAUCCAAGAAUUCGUCAUCACGCUGCACAGGCUGCGUCUUUGACGCACUUGCACUAUUACUCAGCAGCAGUAACAUGGUAACAUUAAAAUGGUUUUCGGGGACCUCCAAAGACUAAAACUGGCAAGCCGUCCAGGAGUCCUGGGGUAAGUUACUUGUCAAUGGCAUGGUUUUGAUCCCUUUUUUGCACUUGUUAAAGACUUACUGGUCAUAGAAGGCUUUCAGUGUUGAGUAGCCUUUUGUUUAACAUGUUUAUGGUAUGACAUAGCUGUAGAUAGUUACUUGCCAUAAAUGAAGUUUUAGAAAUAAACUACUUGGCAAAGAUUUGUUUUCGAAAGUCUGGUCAUCAAAACGCGUUCAUUCCUUAAAAAUAAUGAAAGAGAACUCUUUGAACCUCGGUUGAAUAAAAGGUUUUCUUGCCACCAACAGUUAGUGUCUGAAGUCUUACUGGAAAAAAAACAUUUCUAUAUCAUGACAAUGCUAGGGAGUUAAAGUGACUGCUAUGGGAAGAUGCAGUGGGGCAUUUUCAUCUUUUAAAAUGUGAGUCUCCAGCUGGGCGUGAUGGCCCAUGCUUUUCAUCCCAGAAUUUGAGGCAGGUAGGAGUGAGCUGUAGGCCCGCUAUUGCUCCAUCAUGAGGGAGGGAUGGAGGGAGGCCCUGUCUUAAAAACUGUUGCAAGAGGCAAGUAAAAUUAAUCAUGACAUUUAAGGUUAAGUCAGCAUCUUAGCAGAAGAGCAGUUUAUUUCAUGAUGAAUUACUAGUUUUGUUACCACAUAAGAGGAUGACUAUACUGUGUAGUUAGGUUUUGCUUCCCUGUGCCCAAAUAGUUCGUGCUCACCUAGGAAAAGUGGGCUGGGUCUAGUGAAAUACCUGUUCCAGCUUUUGAAAUGGAUUCCUAAAUUGCCCUUCUGAAGGGUAAAAUAGUGACUGUUUUUGUUUCCCACUCUUUUAUGGUGUGGGUUUUAUAAUAGCUUGUCUAAUGAUGUGAAAGCCAUACCUGCUUUCAGUUUACCUUCCAAAAGGAGUUUCUCAGGUAUUCUAGAACCAGUACUGGUACACUCUGUAAAAGCACUUUCUGAGCUCAUUAAGACCAAAUGUACACUGGGAAAAUGCACAACAAGCCCUUUGUCAGCCAGGUGUGGGGACGGCCAGUAUGAAAUAAGUAGGUUGUAGGGCGUCAAGUACAAAUUGACUUAGUGAGCCUGUGUGAUUGGUAAAGCACUGUUGUGUUGAACACAAGUCAGAGCUGACACAUUGGCAAGUGUUCUUGAACCUGUAAUGACCUCAUCUGCUUCAGUUUGGUGUUAGGUUGUCCAUUCUCAGGUUUGUAGGCUUCCUGGGUACUUAACAGAUACAAGAAACAAUUUACUAAUUGGAGGAUGCAAAUUAGAAAUUAUUUAUUAUGUUCUCAAUCCAGGGAAUAUAGUUCGUGACUUUCGUGUAGACCCCAUACUGUUCUGACCCCCCACAGUUAAUAGAACCCCAGGAAACUAUUCCUCCCACAAACCAUCUCUGUGUUUCAUUGUCUAGAAACACUAAUGCCCCUCCGCUGUCACCUCUGCAGCUGUCCUUGCCACCGGCGUCUAGGCCAGCACAGAGCAUGUUAACAGUCACUUUUGCUCCUGGGUAGGGCUGCUUUGUAUACGCAGUAGCACAUUUUUGGUGGUCAACAAUUGGUAUGUCCACAAACAUUAGGUUUCUAGCAAGAAACCCCUUCUGGGUUAACCCCCAGCCAGCCACAGUUCCAACGAAGUCUGUUUUCAUUAAGGAUGCAGCUUCUUUUCUUGGUAGACAAAUCGGCAUGAUGUUUCUGUUGAUUGUGACUUUGUUCUUGAGUUUAAUCAGUGCUAUAUCAUUGUCAAAACCAGCUCCGUGAGUGUAGCCUUCAUGGAUAAAGACAGCCUCUGGCCAGGCUUGAGUGUAAUGAGGGGAGAGCCUUUUGAGGAUGCCCAUGCGGAUGUCCAGGGAGGACAUCGCCUCUGUUUUCCCAUAUACAGCAUGAGCCGCUGUUAGGACCCAGUCGUCAUGUAUAAGAGCACCUGCUGCUGUAGUUUCACCCAGUAACAAGACUUGCCAAGGAAAGUCACCAGGCUUUGCAGGCUGUCCUCCAAUUAUACGGCCUCCUGAAGUGUGUGUGGACAGUCCACAGACUGAGGAAAAAAAAUUUGGUGUCAGCCUAAACGUACACCCCACAAAUUGAUAGGAAUGAGGUCAUUCUAUCCCCCCCCUUUUUUUUCUUUGGAGGUGGGGACCGAACCCAGGGCCUUGAGCUUGCUAGGCAAGCACUCUACCACUGAGCCAAAUCCCCAACCCCUGAGGCCACUCUAAAUAGUAUAUAAAGAACUGAGAUGUCCUUGUUUGACCUGGUUAUCUCCUUGUAAAGAUCAGUAACAGACCUCACAGGUUAUGUUUUGCUAAAAGAAAAAGGGAGUCUAGACAGGAAUUAUUUGCAGGAAGACAUGACACUGCAAAGAGGCAAAGGGCAGGAUCCCUCACCAUACUGUGUGCUGCUUUUUUAGCUUACUAGGAAUUCUGAGGAACUAUGAUUUACAAAAUGACUUUUGCCUUUGAAUGUAAAAGUUUAGAUUACAGUGUUGCAGCAAUAGCCAAGGUGCUUCUGGUUCAAAAAUUGGUUGAGCCAUCCAAACCCUUUUACCAUGCAUUGCAAGCUGAGUGCUCAGAAAUGCAACGUCUGUUCCUUAUUGUGGUUGUGCACUUUGAUUAAAACUGAGAAGCAGCAUGUCAGCCAAAUCCAGGGCUAGAAAACUAAUUUAAACCAGCUAACAUGGGGGUAAUGAGUGUAUUAUUACCUUUCAAUUAAAAAAAGCAUUCUCAAGUAUUGUUGGAGCCAAUUCUGGUAAAGAAAUUUAAGUACUAUUAAAAGGCAAAUUGCAUUAAUGUUUAAAAAUCUAGAUGUCGUUGAAAACAAUUGCUUAGGGAAAUAAUGAAGUUAUUAGCUUUGGGGUUUAAUAGCAUUUUUACAGAGAAGAAAAGUAACAAGAGUUCGUGGUUAUAAAUGUGUAAAUGGUUUGAGAUAAUUUAAGAAAUCAUUUAAUUUUUUUAUGCUUGCCUAGUUACGAGGUCAAAAGCAAUCCGGUGCAUGAUGCAGCCCACACCUAACUUCCAUGUGGGAAGGGGUGAUGUGAGCCAGCACACUGUUGGGGAGCACUAAGCCAGCCUAAGCCAGCGGCUGGGCUUCCUUCUUGCCUCCCCACCUAGGCCCUGCCUAUUGUCUGCAGCUACUCUGUCAGUUAUGAAUCUCUUUUAUAAAUGCGUCCAUUACCAGGCUUGCAAACCGGGAGGGAUUUUUCUCCUUUGGAGCUCGUCCAGAAUCCAUCAGCCUCACACACAUAUUUACCUGCAAGUCAUUGGAAAAGCAAAAAUGUUUAGCUCUAGUUGUCAUUUGCUUGAACAACCCCUUGAAAAAUGUUGAUUCUUGAGCAUCCGUGGUGGGGAGAGGUGUGUGAAUAACCAUUUUACAUGAUUUCAUAAAUAGGAUCUGCAUUACCAUGUUUGCUUGCAAAGUGGAAACCUUUUAGAUGUGUAACUUGAAUAUGUAUCAAGAUCUCAAGUGCUUAAUGAUAAGGUUUUGACUUGUUAAAUUAAACCGUUUGGAAUAUA